rnacentral:rRNA from 1 species
AUUAUGGAGAGUUUGAUCCUGGCUCAGGAUGAACGCUGGCGGCGUGCCUAAUACAUGCAAGUCGAGCGAACAGACGAGAGUGCUUG